rnacentral:tRNA from 1 species
GUCAAUAUAGUUUAAAACAAACAUUAGACUGUGAUUCUAAAAAUAGGAGUGUAAACCCCCUUAUAGACC